rnacentral:rRNA from 1 species
AACGAACGCUGGCGGCAUGCCUAACACAUGCAAGUCGAACGAGACCUUCGGGUCUAGUGGCGCACGGGUGCGUAACGCGUGGGAACCUGCCUUUAGGUUCGGAAUAACUCAGAGAAAUUUGAGCUAAUACCGGAUGAUGUCUUCGGACCAAAGAUUUAUCGCCUUUAGAUGGGCCCGCGUUGGAUUAGCUAGUUGGUGGGGUAAAGGCCUACCAAGGCGACGAUCCAUAGCUGGUCUGAGAGGAUGAUCAGCCACACUGGGACUGAGACACGGCCCAGACUCCUACGGGAGGCAGCAGUGGGGAAUAUUGGACAAUGGGCGAAAGCCUGAUCCAGCAAUGCCGCGUGAGUGAUGAAGGCCUUAGGGUUGUAAAGCUCUUUUAACCGAGAUGAUCAUGACAGUAUCGGGAGAAUAAGCUCCGGCUAACUCCGUG